UGGUCAAGUUAUUAAGGGUGCAGGGCGGAUGCCUUGGCACUAGGAGCCGAUGAAGGACGUGAUAAGCUGCGAUAAGCUUCGGGGAGUUGCACGUAAACUUUGAUCCGAAGAUUUCCGAAUGAGGAAACUCACUUAGAGUAAUGUCUAAGUAUCAUUAAGUGAAUACAUAGCUUAAUGAGGGGAACUCAGGGAACUGAAACAUCUAAGUACCUGAAGGAAGAGAAAGAAAUUCGAUUCCGUAAGUAGCGGCGAGCGAACGCGGAUUAGCCCAAACCAAU
rnacentral:rRNA from 1 species